CUAAAUUAAAAGAAGAAUAAAAAUUUAUACUAUUAUACUAUUAUAUUAUAUUAAAUGAACCCCUACCUUGGUUUCUUAAAGUUUUUGCCAUGUGGCAUUUACAUAAUUUAAAAAAAAAAACCUACUCUACAAUUAUUUCUCACUCAACCACUUUUUCCACAUAAAUACACUAUAAUGACUUCUUCUCUUCUCCAAUAACUCCUUUAAUCAAAUUAUUCUUAUUCUUAUUUUUUAUUUUUACUUUUACUAUCUUCCUCUAGUUGUACAAUGUUUUUCUCUUUUAAAGAAAAAUGUGUUUUAUUCAAUUAUGGCAAAAGACGUACAAACCAAUAGAAGGCUAUCUUUUGUUUCUCUUCAACAAGAAUGCAAUUGAGUAUUGAAGAUGCCCAAAUGGAUUGAAGAAAAAUGAGUGAAAUUGAGGAAGAAAGAUAUGUAACAGAAGAAGAACAAUUAUUAUGUUUAGAGAUUGAGAGAGAGUUCAUUUGGGACCAAAAUUUGGAGGUUUUGAUUGGGUUUGAAGAGGAAGUACAAAAGCAAAGUGCAGACACAUACAAGAGUUGGCUAUUUGAUGAAUAAUUAUGUAGAAUUUACUUUUAAAGAAUUCGUAGUCCUAUUUAUUUUUUUCUAGGUUGUUUUACACAAAUUUACAAAUUUUUUUUCAAAGAUUGUCUUAUAACUUAUAUACAUAACUUUUUUUUCCCAAAUUAUUUGAAAACCUUUGUGUUUUUCAAAAGAAAUAACUUUUCAAGCAAUUGCUUAUCAACAUUUAUCUUUUGUUUUUCUUUGACAGUAAGUGAUUUAAAAACUCCUCAGUGUACUUUUCUCAAAUGUGACAACGUGGUGGGUAUGAUGUGAUACUCCAAAAAAUUUAAAACUCCUUAGUGUACUUUUUUCAAAUGUUACAACGUGGCAGAUAUGAUGUGACACCCCAAAAAAACUAAAAACUCGUUAGUAUACUUUUUCUAAUUGUGACAACGUGGCCCAAAUGUGACAAUGUAGUGGGUAUGAUGUAACACUUUAAAAAAAAAUUAAAAACUCAUUAAUGUACUUUUUCUAAAUGUGACAAAAUAUAUUGUCACAUUAAUUCUUUUAGCAUACAGUUUAACGUCCUCUACACAAACACAAAAUAUAGAAAUGUUAUAUAUAUAUAUAUAAUGAAAAAAAGAAGCAAACAACAAAAAAAACUAAAUUAAAAGAAGAAUAAAAAUUUAUACUGUUAUACUAUUAUAUUAUAUUAAAUGAGCCCCUACCUUGGUUUCUUAAAGUUUUUGCCAUGUGGCAUUUACAUAAUUUAAAAAAAAAAAAAAACCUACUCUACAAUUAUUUCUCACUCAACCACAUUCUCCAAAUAAAUACUCUAUAAUGACUUCUUCUCUGCUCCAAUAACUUCCUUUAAUCAAAUUAUUAUUAUUAUUGUUACUUUUUUUUUUUUUUUACUUUUACUUUUAUUUUCUUCCUCUAGUUGUACAAUGUUUUUCUCUUUUAAAGAAAGUACAAAAGUGUUUUAUUCAAUUAGGGCAAAAGACGUACAAACCAAUAGAAGGCUUUCUUUUAUUUCUCUUCGACGAGAAUGCAAUUGAGUAUUGAAGAUGCCCAAAUGGAUUGAAGAAAAAUGAGAAAUUAAGGAAGAAAGAGAUGUAACAGAAGAAGAACAAUUAUUAUGUUUAGAGAUUGAGAGAGAGUUCUUUUGGGGCCAAAAUUUGGAGGUUUUGAUUGGGUUUGAAGAGGAAGUACAAAAGCAAAGUGCAGACACAUACAAGAGUUGGCUAUUUGAUGAAUAAUUAUGUAGAAUUUACUUUUAAAGAAUUCGUAGUCCUAUUUAUUUUUUGCCAGGUUGUUUUACACAAAUUUACAAUUUUUUUUUUCAAAGAUUGUCUUAUAACUUAUGUACAUAACUUUUUUUUUUCCAAAUUAUUUGAAAACCUUUGUGUUUUUCAAAAGAAAUAACUUUUCAAGUAAUUACUUAUCAACAUUUAUCUUUUGUUUUUCUUUGACUGUAAGUGAUUUAAAAACUCCUUAGUGUACUUUUCUCAAACGUGACAACAUGGUGGGUAUGAUGUGAUAUUCCAAAAAAAUUAAAAACUCCUUAGUGUACUUUUUUCAAAGGUGACAACGUGGCAGAUAUGAUGUGACACUCCAAAAAAGCUAAAAAGUCGUUAGUAUACUUUUUCUAAAUGUGACAGCGUGGCCCAAAUGUGACAAUGUAGUGGGUAUGAUGUAACCCUUCAAAAAAAAUUAAAAACUCAUUAAUGUACCUUUUCCAAAUGUGACAAAAUAUAUUGUCACAUUAAUUCUUUUAGCAUACAUUUUAACCUCCUCUACACAAACACAAAAUAUAGAAAUGUUAUAUAUAUAUAUAUAUAUAUAAAAUGAAAAAAAGAAUCAAACAACAAAAAAAACUAAAUUAAAAGAAGAAUAAAAAUUUAUACUAUUAUACUAUUAUAUUAUAUUAAAUGAGGCCCUACCUUGGUUUCUUAAAGUUUUUGCCAUGUGGCAUUUACAUAAUUUAAAA